GUAACAACUAAAGGAUAACGGCGCCUUGCUGAAAUUUUAGUCGCUCCUGCGUCCGUCCGGUAAACUAGCGGCCGAAAGAGCGAGCGGUAGUAACGUCCGCGACGAUUUUCCUGCUCUACCGCUACUCCCACCUGCGAAGAAAAUUGACGGUCGCGGUGUCCCGCUCGCUUGGUUUUCCGCGUUCGUGACGCUCUUGGUCUAGACCCAUGCACGUAUGUGAUCAUUAUUACACCACUAGCGUCGUGGCUUGAUAAGAAAAAAACAGUUUGCAACGGCGAUGAUUUAUGAUUGCUCGCGUUUGACGGUUGUACGGGGGAAUGCCAUUGAAUAAAGAAAAGUGAAUAGUGAGGUUCCAAUACGUAUCUAUAGUGAACGAAAUCAACAACUAAAAAAGUGUGCGUUCAAUAUGAUGACAUCUCCUUCUGGUUUGGUGUACUUCAAAUGAAAAAUCACUACACAAAUAUGGUCGUUGACAUCACUGCCAGGAAGAAAUGCAAUCUGCAUGUAUUUAUUUUGCUGAAUCUUCUGACUGGCAUUAAAGCGUUGAGCGAAGUGGAUGUGAUAGUGCCCCAAGCAGUCGCUGUUGGAGACACUGUCACCCUCCAAUGCCACUACGAUCUGGAAGGACAGCCCCUUUACACCCUCAAGUGGUACAAGGGAGCGAGAGAAUUCUACCGAUUCAUCCCCAAGGAGCAUCCCAAUACACAGGUUUUCCCGUUUCCUGGAAUUGACGUAGACUUGAACAAGUCGAAUUUGCAUGCCAUCGUGUUACGUAACGUCCAACCUGAAAUAUCUGGAACAUAUAGAUGCGAAGUUUCGACAGAUGCUCCAAACUUUUAUACCAACAUGAUGUCAGCUAGUAUGUACGUAUUAAAUGUACCCCAAAGUAAACCUCAAAUAGAAACUAGAAAUUAUUCAUCGGACUUAGGUCAAGUUGUUAUGGCCAAUUGUACAUCACCAUACUCUUAUCCCCCGAUGAAUCUGACAUGGUUUGUUAAUGGAGUCAAGGUGAAUGAUAGUUACUACAGUAAAAUACCGUCAACGUUCAAUCCAAAUGAAGUUAGCGUUCGUAUUGGCUUGAAGCACUUCAUCGAUCACAAAUCGUACCACAAUAGCGGGGUUUUAAGGCUCAAAUGCGUAGCUUCUCUGUUCAAUUUAUACAGGGAGGAAGUCGAGGCGUCAAUGGAAGAUGAUCAACCUAAACCUAGACCUUCGUCGGUGCUUGGAACUCCUAACUCGGAAAUCCGAUUGGCCUUAUACCUCAAAAUUUUGAAAUUCCAAUAUUGACCGAAAAAAAUAUAUUAGAUAUAUUAGGCAGACAUUAAUGUUUUUAGAAGAGCAGUUGACUGGGAAAUAAUCUAAGUAGGAUUUUUCGACUGUAGACAGGACCUGCUGUAUCCACACAAAGAAACUGAAUUAGACCCUACACCCCUACCGAAAAUGUAGAAAUCCUUGUAUUGACCGAAAAAAAACCAAUGUAUACCUAUUGAAUUUAGCAAGAUUUUUGGAUUUAUUUCAAGUGUCACGAUCUACUUCUUCUGUGAAAAGGUUUUUAACGGGUUCCUACCUUCCGCUUGCACCCGCCGUUUACCUCUUAAGGCGACCGGAUGUAGAAAACAGGAAAAUAGAACGGGUCGAUCGUAUUUCAUGGAGAAUUUAAGUAGCCUCAUCAUAACGAACCUGGGCCGGAAGUGUCAUUCGGUAUUUUCGCGAAAGUGUAGUGUUAUCGUCGAAAAGGACAAAAUAGUAGUGCGCGUACGGAAACAAACCGCGAAUAAAGUGAAAAGUCCGAAAGUUUCGUAAACGUGUGAAAGUGCCGCUAAUUCGAGUACCUACCAGAAGGGGAAGACUUUAUGUUGCUCAGAUUUGGUAUGAGCUUGAAGACUUAAGGUCCACUACAACAGCAGAGUCAACACGUACAACUACGUUCGUGAGGAUUAUCGCGUUAUAAGUGAGUUGGUGGCAAGAACAUCCGAAGAGGCGUGCUGCUAACUUCAUAUUUCACUGUGGCUUGCCGUAUGCCGUUUAUCUAUGGUUGAGUCCAUGUUUAUAAUAACGGUUGAUGUGUAUCCCGCUUUUGUGAAAUUAAAAUUAUAAUUUAUAAGUAAAUUUCAAAGUUAUUUUAAGAGAAAAGUGGUGUAAUUACUUAUAUCAUACAUGCUUAUAGUACAAAUCAA